AUCGCUUCUCAGCCUUUUGGCUAAGAUCAAGUGUGAAAUGCCAUCAGUCAUGGAAGGAAACAGGUUUAUUUGUUGACCAGAAUUUUAAAAAGAAAAGUUGAAGGGGAAUGACUGAAAGAGCAUAUAUUUGUGCUUUUCACUUUAUUAUAGAAGAGAACCAGAUUUUCUUU
ensembl:snRNA U2 U2 spliceosomal RNA